CGUACAACAUUUCCCUCAGCAUCCAUUCUAAAAUUACCUACAUCAACUAAUUUAUUUGGAUUGGCUUUAAGCACAUCAUUCUCCAGUUCUUCUAGAGUUGCUCUACAAACUAUAAGAUCAACUUCCGCAUCAACAGAUGUAUAUUCCGCUAAUGAGAAUAGAGCGAAGAGCAGCAAAGUUCUCAUCUGCAAGGAAAUGUGAACUUCGAAUUAUAUAGUAUCCGUCACGAGAAGUGGAUGUGUUUACUGUAAAUCUGCCACGUGCGUUAUGCUUGUGAGAAAAUAUCUUACCUUGUACGUCAAGUUCAUAUUAAUCAAAUUACAAUAAUCUUUUAGUUAUACUUUUCUACAAUAAUAUAUUUAAAACUCUCAACAACACACAGGUGACGCGUGUAACGUACACAUUGAUGUACAUCUUCUAAUCUCGCAAGAUAUUGUGUAAAACGUGGUUUCAUACGAACGAAUGACAAUUCGUAACGUGUAAUUCCGGUAAUGCCAACUGUUCAACUUGAAAAUGCUUUAUCCAAGAGAAAUUUUCCAUCAAAAUAAUAAAUACAUAAUGUAGUACCUACAAUCUGAUAUUAAUAAUAAUAUAGACAAUGGUACGAGUUGUUUAUUAAUUUUAUUAUCUUACAAAGAUAUAAAAAUGAUAUUUUUAAAGUACAUUUUGAAAUACCUAACCCUAACCUUAAUCUCAUCUAACUUUAUAAAUACAUAUAUUAAUAGGCUUGCAAAGGGUACAAAAAGCUUCACAAAUGGCAAUUCGAUUUUAAAAAAUACCUACAUUAAUUGAGUUUUAAGAAUAAGAAAAGAUA